rnacentral:tRNA from 1 species
GCCCGCAUAGCUCAGUCGGUAGAGCAUCAGACUUUUAAUCUGAGGGUCGAAGGUUCAAGUCCCUCUGCGGGUG